rnacentral:rRNA from 1 species
GGAUUCUACCGUCGGUCGGGCUAACAAGUCUGUACUGGUGUGUAGAAUUUCUACCUUCUGGGGAACCAUCAUGUUUAGCGUGGUGGGAAACCAGGACUUUUACCUUGAAAAAAUUAGAGUGUUCAAAGCAGGCUUACGUCUGAAUACAUUAGCAUGGAAUAAUAGAAUAGGACGGUGGUCCUGUUUUGUUGGUUUCUGAAUCACCGUA